rnacentral:rRNA from 1 species
AGUUUCGGGAUCAGCGCGCGUGAGUUGCUUGUCUGUCGCAAGGCGGGCGAGUGACGAGCGAUUGUGAGGGCCCCGAAUCGGCGGUUUGGUUCUUCACCGUUGCGAACAGUCGACUUGGAACUGUCGCUGAGCAGGGGAAUCUAACUGUUUAAUUAAAACAUAGCUUUUAGAAGAUUGUGGUCGGACGUAGGCUUAAAGUGAAUCCUGCCCAGUGCUCUGAAUGUUAAUGCAAAGAGAUUUUACCAAGCUCGGGUAAACGGCGGGAGUAACUAUGACUCUCUUAAGGUAGCCAAAUGCCUCGUCUUCUAAUUAAAGACGCGCAUGAAUGGACUAAUGAGAUUCCCACUGUCCCUAGUUACUGUCCGGCGAACCGACAGUCAAGGGAACGGUCUUGAGAUCUUCAGCGGGGAAAGAAGACCCUGUUGAGUUUGGCUCUAAUCUGACUCUGUGCAGUGACAUCCGAGGUGUAGCAUAGGUGGGAGGUGUGUAACAAUACCAGCCGUGAAAUACCACUACUCGGGUCGUUGCUUUACUCAUCGCAUUAAAUGGGGACGGCGGUGGUCUUCUUUCGGGAAGAUGGUUUACUCCCAGCCGUGAGAACCUUUGUGUUCUUCGGUUGUACCUACCCGUUUCUGAGUAAUAAGCGUGCCCUUCAGAGGCUUGCGCGACCCAUUGCUGCGAGACAUUGGUCAGACCGGGAGUUUGGCUGGGGCGGCAUAUCUGUUAAAUGAUAACGCAGGUGUCCUAAACCUGACUCAGUGAGAACAGAAAUCUCACGUGGCGCAUAAGGGUAAAAGUCAGGCUGAGCUCUUGAUUUUCAGUACUAAUCCAGACUGUGAAAGCAAGGCCUAACGAUCCUUUGGUCCCAUUAGUGUUCCAAGUAUGAAGCCAGAGGUGACAGAAAAAUUACCACAGGGAUAACUGGCUUGUGGCGACCAAGAGUUCAUAUCGACGUCGCUUUUUGAUCCUUCGAUGUCGGCUCUUCCUAUCCUAGCCCUGCAGAAAAGGCUAAGGGUUGGAUUGUUCACCCAUCGAAAGGGAACGUGAGCUGGGUUUAGACCGUCGUGAGACAGGUUGGUUUUACCCUACUGAAGAAUUCGUUCUAUCCUCGACGGAUGGCUUGAAAACCUCUUCGACUAGAACGGGCGCACCGAUGGUAAUUUGGGGUAGUACGAGAGGAACUCCCAAUUCAGCCCUCUGGUAUCUGGGUCUGGUCGAUCGGCCAUGAUCCGACGCUACGGCUGCGUGGUUACGGCUGAACGCCUCUUAAGCCAGAACCACUCCCAGAUGGUGCGCCCUUGGUGUCAUUCGCCAAGCAGUCGCCUGGGCUUAACUUCUGCGGACCACUCCGAUACGUCUUCGUAUGGCGGGUCUUGGGCUUGC